AUGCAUAUGGGACACAAAAGUGGAAACACUUCAGGAGUGUCGAAGUCGUCAUCGGAUUGGUUGAAUACUACAGAAUUUCCGGGAGACGUGUGUGUCACGUUCUUUAACGUUCUGCCUGGAACUACAGAAUUUCCGGGAGACAUGUGUGUCAUGUUCUUUAACGUUCUGCCUGGAAACAAAGAUGCUGUGCCGCCAAACCCCCUCACGAAAGAAGAAAGCCAUAGUGUUUACAACUGUGACGACAAGCACUUAUCAGGAUCAGCUAAACACUGGAGCUUCAAAGGAGCUAAUACACCCCAAAGGCUCUUUUAAGAGCUACAGCACUGAGCAUAUUUGCUUUUUUUCCACAAAAUUUAAUUGGAUUGAUUCGUUUGGAAGUAUUUGAAAAUAUUUCUGAGAAUUUGAUGCCAGCCAAUUAACCUUGAUCUAGCAUUCAUUUUGGUUAUUCAGCCAAGUAAUGAAGUUCACUGACAAGGAUGCUAUACUGUUUAAAUAGUACUGUACUGGGAAUAACUGCUGUUGCACAAGUUGUUACCUCGUCUGUCCAUCAACAAAUUUAGAUGAGAGAAACUUGUGAUCAUUUCCCACACAUUUCCACUUUGUUUUGUUUUCAGAUCAGCCGUCAGUGGCUAUGGAUGCUAGCCAAGACCAACUGGGAUGCUAUUUGUUGCCGUUUUUUGUUGCCAUAUUUUCAUGAUAUGUGCUUUGAUUUGUUAUGAAUUCAGUUCUCUCUCUCUCUCUCUCUCUCUCUCUCUCUCUCUCUCCCUCUAUAUAUAUAUAUAUAUAUAUAUAUAUAUAUGACAUUCAUGUAAAAUAUUGAAAGGUUUUGUAAUAAAUAGUGUAAUAUAAAUUACA
ensembl:lncRNA